rnacentral:rRNA from 1 species
AACGAACGCUGGCGGCAGGCUUAACACAUGCAAGUCGAACGCCCCGCAAGGGGAGUGGCAGACGGGUGAGUAACGCGUGGGAAUCUACCCAGUUCUACGGAACAACACAGGGAAACUUGUGCUAAUACCGUAUACGCCCUAAGGGGGAAAGAUUUAUCGGAAUUGGAUGAGCCCGCGUUGGAUUAGCUAGUUGGUGGGGUAAUGGCCUACCAAGGCGACGAUCCAUAGCUGGUCUGAGAGGAUGAUCAGCCACACUGGGACUGAGACACGGCCCAGACUCCUACGGGAGGCAGCAGUGGGGAAUAUUGGACAAUGGGCGCAAGCCUGAUCCAGCCAUGCCGCGUGAGUGAUGAAGGCCUUAGGGUUGUAAAGCUCUUUCAGUAGGGACGAUAAUGACGGUACCUACAGAAGAAGCCCCGGCUAACUUCGUGCCAGCCGCCGCGGUAA